rnacentral:rRNA from 1 species
CACGCAGGCGGCUAGGCAAGUCUGACGUGAAAGCUCCCGGCUAAACUGGGAGAGGUCGUUGGAAACUGCUUGGCUUGAGGUAAUGAGAGGGGUGCGGAAUUCCCGGUGUAGUGGUGGAAUGCGUAGAUAUCGGGAGGAACACCGGUGGCGAAAGCGGCACCCUAGCAUUGACCUGACGCUCAUGUGCGAAAGCGUAGGGAGCGAACG